UAAUUGUUUUUACUCCUCUGGGCACUGAGAUGUAGGUUGUUUCUUCUUCUUCUUCUUCUUCUUCUUCCUUCUUUCUUCUUCUUCUUCUUCCUUCUUCCUUCUUCUUCUUCUUCCUUCUUCUUCUUCCUUCUUCUUCUUCUUCUUCCUUCUUCUUCUUCUUCUUCCUUCUUCUUCUUCUUCCUUCUUCUUCUUCUUCUUCUUCUUCCUUCUUCUUCUUCUUCUUCCUUCUUCUUCUUCUUCUUCCUUCUUCCUCUUCUUCUUCUUCUUCUUCUUCUUCUUCUCUCUCUCUCUCUCUCUCUCUCUCUCUCUCUCUCUCUCUCUCUCUCUCUCUCUCUCUCUCUCUCUCUCUCUCUCUCUUUACCUCCCCUUUUAU
rnacentral:lncRNA from 1 species